rnacentral:rRNA from 1 species
GACGAACGCUGGCGGCGUGCUUAACACAUGCAAGUCGAACGGAAAGACCCUGCUUUUGUGGGGUGCUCGAGUGGCGAACGGGUGAGUAACACGUGAGUAACCUGCCCUUGACUUUGGGAUAACUUCAGGAAACUGGGGCUAAUACCGGAUAGGAGCUCCUGCUGCAUGGUGGGGGUUGGAAAGUUUCGGCGGUUGGGGAUGGACUCGCGGCUUAUCAGCUUGUUGGUGGGGUAGUGGCUUACCAAGGCUUUGACGGGUAGCCGGCCUGAGAGGGUGGCCGGCCACAUUGGGACUGAGAUACGGCCCAGACUCCUACGGGAGGCAGCAGUGGGGAAUAUUGCACAAUGGGCGGAAGCCUGAUGCAGCAACGCCGCGUGCGGGAUGACGGCCUUCGGGUUGUAAACCGCUUUCGCCUGUGACGAAGCGUGAGUGACGGUAAUGGGUAAAGAAGCACCGGCUAACUACGUG